GGGAAUCACUGGGCGUAAAGCGUGCGUAGGCGGUUGUGUAAGUCUGAAGUGAAAGUCCAAGGCUCAACCUUGGGAUUGCUUUGGAAACUGCAUGACUUGAGUGCUGGAGAGGCAAGGGGAAUUCCACGUGUAGCGGUGAAAUGCGUAGAUAUGUGGAGGAAUACCAGUGGCGAAGGCGCCUUGCUGGACAGUGACUGACGCUGAGGCACGAAAGCGUGGGGAGCAAACAGGAUUAGAUACCCUGGUAGUCCACGCCGUAAACGAUGAGUGCUAGGUGUUGGGGGGACACACCCCAGUGCCGAAGGAAACCCAAUAAGCACUCCGCCUGGGGAGUACGGUCGCAAGACUGAAACUCAAAGGAAUUGACGGGGGCCCGCACAAGCAGUGGAGCAUGUGGUUUAAUUCGAAGCAACGCGAAGAACCUUACCAGGGCUUGACAUCCCUCUGACCGGUGCAGAGAUGCACCUUCCCUUUGGGGCAGAGGAGACAGGUGGUGCAUGGUUGUCGUCAGCUCGUGUCGUGAGAUGUUGGGUUAAGUCCCGCAACGAGCGCAACCCUUGAUCUGUGUUACCAGCACGUGAUGGUGGGGACUCACAGGUGACUGCCGGCGUAAGUCGGAGGAAGGCGGGGAUGACGUCAAAUCAUCAUGCCCUUUAUGUCCUGGGCUACACACGUGCUACAAUGGGCGGUACAACGGGAAGCGAAGCCGCGAGGUGGAGCCAAACCUAAAAAGCCGUUCGUAGUUCGGAUUGCAGGCUGCAACUCGCCUGCAUGAAGCCGGAAUUGCUAGUAAUCGCGGAUCAGCAUGCCGCGGUGAAUCCGUUCCCGGGCCUUGUACACACCGCCCGUCACACCACGAGAGUCGGCAACACCCGAAGUCGGUGAGGUAACCAUGAUGGAGCCAGCCGCCGAA
rnacentral:rRNA from 1 species